rnacentral:rRNA from 1 species
UUGCACGCUGGCGGCAGGCCUAACACAUGCAGGUCGAGCGGAUGAAGGGAGCUUGCUCCUGGAUUCAGCGGCGGACGGGUGAGUAAUGCCUAGGAAUCUGCCUGGUAGUGGGGGAUAACGUCCGGAAACGGGCGCUAAUACCGCAUACGUCCUGAGGGAGAAAGUGGGGGAUCUUCGGACCUCACGCUAUCAGAUGAGCCUAGGUCGGAUUAGCUAGUUGGUGGGGUAAAGGCCUACCAAGGCGACGAUCCGUAACUGGUCUGAGAGGAUGAUCAGUCACACUGGAACUGAGACACGGUCCAGACUCCUACGGGAGGCAGCAGUGGGGAAUAUUGGACAAUGGGCGAAAGCCUGAUCCAGCCAUGCCGCGUGUGUGAAGAAGGUCUUCGGAUUGUAAAGCACUUUAAGUUGGGAGGAAGGGCAGUAAGUUAAUACCUUGCUGUUUUGACGUUACCAACAGAAUAAGCACCGGCUAACUUCGU